rnacentral:lncRNA from 1 species
GGCAACCCUGAGGUGAGCAUCUGCCCUCCACCCAGGCCCCUCUGCCAGGCUCUUCCUGCCUUGAAGUUGGCAACAAUGCAGGAACUGAAACUUCCGAAACGGGAGCCAAAAUGAAUCUCUCUCCUUUACGUUCCAGGGGUCCGAGUAUUGUGUCUCAGAGACUAGAAAGUGGCUAGGACACCUCCUUUUCAGCAGGACUCAAAUAAAUUAAGGAAUCAGUUUAAUUGGGCGAUAUAAAAGUGUAUCUAAGGCAGUGCUGCAGUAUAUACUGAGCUGGAGAACACCCUGCUAUGUACUCAGCGGCACCUUGCUCUUCUCUUAUGACAGUAUACAAUUUGCUGACAUUUCCUAUUGAUUGUCAUCUGUGGCUAUCACGUCCAGCUGUGGCCACAACUGAUUUCAAUGCCUGCCACAUGCUGGGUACUCAACAAUGCCACUUACUUGGGCAACAACUGAAUACUAUUUCACUGCAAAUAUUUCCUCCACUGUGCUCACGUGGCUGAAAUUCGUGUAUCCUGGUAAUAAUAAACUCAGCUGAUUAACAUUCAGAAAGGUUCAUCGGUGAAGUAGCGACAUAGCCCUACUCAUCGAAGCCUGUUCAUAUAACCUGGAUUAAAUCAAAACAGUUCCAUUCUGAGCCAGGGCGUGGCUCAGGGCAGUGUGCUUAGCAUGCACGAGGUGCUGGCUCCAUCCCUACUGGAUGAUGACAACGAUGAUGGAUGAUGUUACCCUGCUGGGUCACAGAAAAGUUCAAACUCAGGACCUUGCACUUGGCAGCAUCACUGAGCUAAAUGCCCAGCCCCUAGCAGGACUGUAAAUGCAGGCAUUCACAUCAGGAGCCAUUUGGAAAGACUGGUGUCAGCAUAAGGAGAAGCACAGAUGAUUCGGGCAAAUUGCUGGAAAAUUUCCUAAUGUAUAAUAGGAAGUCUAACUGGAAGCAGGGGCCCCUGGGUGCAGCCCCCACCAACAAGAGGCACCCAGGCUCAGGUCCCCAGUUUGGGUACUGAAGGUCAAUGUGUGCCUGACUCUCUGCCUGCUCUAAGAAGAGAAACUCGACUCAGUAGUGGACAAACCUGUCACCCAUGGAGUAACAGUGUAAGAGAGGUGCUAAAGAUUAAAAUAAAACCUAGACUACGACAAUUAAGAAAGAACUUUUAGCAUAAGUGUCUUAGUCAGUUUCCUAUUGCUGGGACAAAACACCUGACAGCCACAGCUUAAAGGAGGAGAGGCUUAUUUGGGCACAGCAUCACCACAGUACCACAGCCAUUUCCAGCUGGGACAUCACUCAGGCUGGGAAAAAAACAUUACAGCCCAUCUAAAAAACAAAAAAUGAAACUAAGCAAAACAAAGAACAGCUUAAAGAUGUACGUCAAGGCUCAGAAGUAGAGAUGGCAGGGAUGUUGAGUUAUCAAAACUCUAAAACUAC